rnacentral:lncRNA from 1 species
AUGGCAGUAAACAGUUUUGAGGCAGCUUUGAUGGGAUUCUCAUCCCCAACAGAGCAGCCUAAAAUAAAAGCGAAAUCGAAACCGUCAUCGUCUAGCAAAAGUGGAUCCUCAUCUUCAGAGAAGAAAGCUUCUCAUUUCUCAGAGUCCAAACCUUCAAAAGUUUUAAGCUCACCUUCUGCAUCACUUGCCGAGGUAGAUCUGUUUCCUGAGGUUAAAUCUGACUUAGAUAUAGACAUUACAUCCUCCCUACCGGAAUUAGCAGAUGUCUAUAGGCCUUUGCCACAUUUGGGAGAACAAGCGAGAAAGACCAAAACUCAUGUCAGAGGAUGAAGCUUUAGCCUCUAUUAUGACAACAAAAGAAUCAAGGUAACUUAGUUGGGUUCAAGAAACUUAUUUCUUUAAUGCUACUCUUCGAAAUGGAUAAUGAAUUUGAGAAAUUCAAAGUGAUUAACUCACU